rnacentral:rRNA from 1 species
AUUGAACGCUGGCGGCAUGCCUUACACAUGCAAGUCGAACGGCAGCUCGGGUGCUUGCACCUGUGGGCGAGUGGCGAACGGGUGAGUAAUACAUAGGAACAUCUCCUGAAGUGGGGGAUAGCCCGGCGAAAGACGGAUUAAUAUAGCAUACGAUCUAUUGAAGAAAGUGGGGCACUUGCGGGCCUCGCGUUAUCGGGUGGGCUGAUGGCGGAUUAGCUAGUUGGUGGGGUAAAGGCCUACCAAGGCGACGAUAAGUAGCUGGUCUGAGAGGACGACCAGCCACACUGGGACUGAGACGCGGCCCAGACUCCUACGGGAGGCAGCAGUGGGGAAUUUUGGACAAUGGGCGAAAGCCUGAUCCAGCAAUGCCGCGUGUGUGAUGAAGGCCUUCGGGUUGUAAAGCACUUUUAUCCGGAAAGAACUCCUUUGCCCUUAUAUGGUCGCGUGAUGACGGUACCGGAACAAAAAGCUCCGGCUAACUACGUG